CCCCCCCCCCCCCUUUUCUUUUUUCCAGUUAUAUAAAAUUUGUAAAUCACAUUUUAGGCUGAACAAAAACAUAUCACUGAACAAUGUAUAUUCAUGAAUACUUUGUUAAUAAAGUAUUACAAGCCCUUUAUCUUGGAGACACCAUAUUUGAUUAACACCAAAGUCAUUUCUUUCCAAGCCUAGUGUAGAAAUUAAUGAGCUUGUCAACUCAGUUCUUUGUUAAAAGGAAAAAUCCCAGUUCUUUGUUAAUAAGAAGAGCAUGACUUUAUAACCUUUUUUAAAAAAAAAACUAUAACUAAGAAAUUUCUUUGAAACAGUAAAAAUUGACUGAAGGACAGCUGCAACAUAAAUGCUAUCAUUUGAUCUUAUACUGUCAGCUUUAUUGGAUGUGUCAGGUUAUUAUUGGACAUAGCUGGUUGUUACAUGAGUUAUCUAAUAUGCUUGAUGGUUAUUUUAAGAGGAAAAAAAAAGUUAGAUAUUUAUUAGAUAAUUGAUCAUUGCGACAGUCUCAGGUUGAUAAAAAAAUUGUUUUACCUCAUGGCUGGUCAGAUUUUUUUUGUUUAAUUUCCUGCAUUGUAAUAGACUCCAAAAUUGGUUGAGCUUGUGUUGAUGUUGUCAGUAAAUCAAAGUUGCCCAUGAUCUUUGACUCAAUAGGCUGACUCUGAGCUCAAGCUUUGGGCUCAUGAAUCAAGCUGGAAUCCUGUAUCCUGCAUGGCAAAACUUGAUCAAGUAGUGUCUAUACUAGAUAGAAAAAGGACUUGUGGCUUGAUUUUUGAAUCUGAGCCAAGAUAGGACUACAUGCCAAAUUGAGCCGUCCACAACCCUGGUUAGUUGCAAGUUUUUAGGGUUCUGCUCAUCUUCACAAACUGCAUAGAGUUAACAUUAUAAAACCGAUAAUGGGCUACAUCCAGGAUGGUUAGUAGAUGGUUCAUUAUUGACAUGACAGGCAAGUGCUGUUUAGCAUCCUCAAGGGAGGUGUAUAAAUGAGAAACAAAGAUAGGCAUAAAAAGUAUUGCUGUAUUAGGUUUGGAUUUACCAUUUUUAUUUAUUAGACCAUGAAUGUCCUAUUCAGAUGUGGAUGGUGGAAUGUUUAAACUGUGUGACAGCCUUGUGGCCAUUGAUUUUCCAUCUCUGCCUGGCUUUAUAACAUGCUGUAUCGACUAAAAUGUGAGGUGAGAAAAAUACUAAAUUAUAUAGGGUUUUUUGCAUGGAUACCUUCUAAAUAUCGAAUUUUGCAUGAAUACUCUUCCAAAAUUGAUAUUUGCAUGUAUACUCUCAUAAAACUCUGUUAUUGUACAAAUGCUCAUAAUAUAACCGUUGUUCUAACGAUGUUAAGAAAAAUCAUAUUUAUAUUAAUUAAAAAUAAAAUAAAAUUUUAAAAUUAUGCUAUUGUCCCUGUUUUUUUCUCUUACUAUCGGGAUUGCGAUUUAUUUACAUGUCUACCUGUUAAGGGUAUUUUAGUCAUUUUAAUUUCAAACCGUUAAUUUUUUAACGUUGUUAGAUAGCACGGGUACAUAUGCAAAAACAAAAAUAAAAAAAGGUAUAAUGGCAAAACAAGUGCUUUACGAGGGUAUCCAUGCAAAUAUCAAUUUUGAAACGGUAUUCAUGCAAAAAAACCCAAUUAUAUAUUUAGAGCGAUUGGUUGGCCAUUGCUACUAAAUUGUUCUAGUUGAAAACUUGUAUCAAACUUGUUCCCCAAGAUUGUUGGUAGUGUUUUCGUAUUUUAAAUGAAUUUCUGAAAUGUGUGGAGGUUGGUGGAUAUGCAAUGGUAAUCAUGAUGUAGGCAACUUGGUUCCCAUCUCUUUUGUUAGGGAUGCAAUUUUGGGAAUGAAAGAGUGGCAGCUUUAGAUAUCUUCGGGGAAUGGAAAGUGCGUUAAGCAGCUUUCAAGACCCAUGAGCACUAAUCAGCAUAGUACUUAUACCAAAGCCUUUAAUAUGCAUUGUUCUUCUAAUCCAGGUACUUCAAAAAAGUUACUAGUCUAUAAAAAAAGUCAGGUUUUGUUGCAUAUCACAACACUGACAAUUACCAAUGGUACAUAUUGAAACAAUCUACUGACCAACUCUUUCACAAUGCCAUUGAAAAGACUCCUCAAGUAGAGUGGCCUCCACAAUGAUUUAUUCAGGCUUUGAUCUCUGUUGGAUGUAAUCUGCACUUAGCUAUAUGUAUGUAUGUAUAUAUAAACUUGGCUAUACUCAAGUUGAUAUCUACAUAGAUUCGGUUUCAUCUAGGAUCAGAUGAUAGAAGUAUCACAUUGAUGAUCCAAGUUGUUGGAUAUGAUUUACUAUCUAUGAAUUGCUUACACAAAAAAUUAUGUGAUUUAGAGAUUCUUAGUUUACUCAUUAAGUGAUCAAGAAAUAUAUAUAAUUUAAUUUUAUUUAGAUUGCCUAAUUAUUUUUUUGACCAUUUGGUUUGAGGAUCUCUAAAUCACAUGAUUUUAUGAUAUGUAAGCAAUUUAAAGAUAGUAUAAGAUAUAGAAUUUUCAUUGUUUAAUAUAGGUUUGAUCGGAUCUGAGUGGAGAUCUAUUCGAGUAUAGACAAGUCCAGCUCUUUCUCUCUCUCUUUAUAUAUAUAUAUAUAUAGCUAGAUUAAGGUAUGGUGCAACUUUAUUUAGAUCCGAUUAGGUUUGGAUUGAUGAUGAAAUUCCACGUAGAUGAUCGAAGCUAUUGGAGACACUUAGCUUGUGGAUAAAGUGGUUAAAAAAUAGACAAUCUGAAUAACACUAAAUUAUAUAUGUUUUUUUGUCCCCGCUUGAUGUAUAGGCUAGGGAUGUAAAUUAUAUAAAUUUUGGUAUAUAAGCAGUUUAAAGAUAGUAGUUUACAUCCAGAUGCUUGGAUCAUCGAUGUAAGAUCUCCAUUCAGAUUUGAUUGAAUUUGAUUGGAGAUCUCUCUCUAUGUAAGGCCUAGAAAUGGGCUCGGUCGAGCUAUGCCCCUACCCGAGCUUGAUAGGAUUUUUUUUUUUUUCAAUCAAGUUUUGGAUCAGGCCGGAAAUUUUUGGAAAAUCUAGAUUUGAACUCUAGCUAGGGUUCAACCCAAGACAUGAUUGGGUUUGGCCGGAAUUAGCCACACUGUGACUUCCCACUAUUUCGUCUACCAUUUUGCCCACUCGGUGAGCUCAAUGUGAGCCUCAUCAAAAUCCUGUUCUCCCUAGCCUAGCUCCUUAUCAAAGAGGCAGAAGUGUGCCGCAGAGUCAUUGGAUUCCUGAACUCACCAGUGGAAGAACUCGCCAUAGCUGCUGCAGAACUAUUGAUCAUACUCUCAACCACAUCAUGGGCCACACAAGCCCUCCACAAGACUCAGGGCCAGCCUGAGAGUCUAAUCAUGAAGUUCGACAACCACCAAUUCACAGAGAAGCAUGCUGGAUCAGUGGAUCUAUCAGUAAAACUCCCACCAGAAUUUGCUAUUCAAUCUAACAGAAUACGAGACAUCCAGAGAGGUGAAACAAGCACAGCCAGGCAUGCAAGGGUCUACCUUGAGAGCCUUGUGGGCAUUCUGGUGGGGCUCGUUAACUCUCUAUGACCCAGAGAUUCUCCGCAUGGCCAUCGAGCAGAUUCUAACAUCAGCGUUCACAGGCGAGGGCAGCAGGAAGUGAUGUGGUCCAGAGGCUGGCAGCAGUUAGGUUGGAGAAAUAUUGCAACAACAGAAAAAAAUUGUUAGCCUGAAAAACUGCAGGAUCACCUCAGCGUGAAUGCGAAAAUGUGGCCUUGCGAGGGAUGCUCAGAGGCUCCCGUAACAUGAUUCCCUCUGGCAGCUUACCAGCUAGGAAGAAUUAAAAGAACUUUUAAUAAAUAGCACGGCCGGUAUGUUUUGCUUUAUAAGCACAUCUUAUCA